GCGGUGCCUGAAGGGGUGUGGCGGCGGCCUCCUCGACGCGCUGGCCAUCCAUGGCCGCUGCGUGCGGGGCUGCUUUGUGCCGUGUGUGGUGCGAACCGGCGGCAGGGCAGCGCGGGGAUAAGACGAUAAUACUGUACUGGCCUGUAUACUGCGUACGGUGCGGGAGUAGGACUGUCGGAGGAUGCAUGCGGCGAGCCAUGAGCGUCCACCGGCGACGCCAUCCUGCCCCGGCCCGUUUCCGCUCCUCGUGGCCUCCACCCAAGGAAAGGACAAGAAGGCAGUGGGAGCGCGUCCCCUCUGCCGGAGCCGCACGGCGUCUCCAGCGGCGUCAUGGACGAGUUCCUACAGCACCCCGCCAUGUCCAUGUCGCCGUUUGAGGGAUGCAAACAACUUAGUUGACCAGCAGAAUGAAAUCUUUCAGGUAAGUUCCAGCCCUGUUUAUUCAAACAGUUCUUCAAUUUCUUUUCAAUUUGUAAACAUCUCAUUCCUCUGUGCAGCAAUGCCAUCGGUUGGCUAUUCUGCGGAAUCUGUCAUGUUUUAACUACAGAUUUUGUAGCAAUGUAUUGACGCUUUUAACUUUGGUACAGUCUUUUUGGCUAUUGGUGUUAUUAUUGAUUUGAUUGAAACACUCUUUUUUUA